GGAGGGGUUCCCGAGCGGUCAAAGGGGGCAGACUGUAAAUCUGCUGGCUCCGCCUUCGGAGGUUCGAAUCCUCCCCCCUCCACCA
rnacentral:tRNA from 1 species